rnacentral:lncRNA from 1 species
AUGGCAACCGCGGCAGGAAAAGGAACAGGACUAGUUUUGUGCUGCUCUGUAAAUGGCCAGGAUUCAGCAGCUAUCUCAGGACUUCUGCUUGGCCCCAGACAAUCUGAUCUCCUGGUAAGGUUAUUAAACUUGGCUCUCCUCUUCCACCCUCCUUUGAUCAUGUUGUCAGGCAGCGAGUAGGAAUGGCCGUAAGGGGUCGGCUGGUGGGGGUUGCAGAGCACAGCAAGAUAUGCACCAGCAGAAACAUAAGAACAGGGGCAGAGGCAAAUCAGGGACUGUGUUCUUAUCUUUUCUGCACCCCAGAUGCAGAGAAGUACAUCCCCAAGUCCUUGCCAAUACUAUUCUUCAAGAGUUGAGCACCUUGCUCCAAAGAGCCUGUCCAGAUCGCCAGUUUGACCAGCAUGGAGGAGAACAAGGAAGGGCCGGUCCUGGAAGACCCCAGGAUUUUUUUAAUUGGGAAAGCAUUAUUUGAGUUUUCUCUGCUGCAAAGCACAAACUGCCUACCACAUGUGUUUCAUAAAAAUGUCACUGAAAAGGAGAGUGAGAAUACAGAGUAAGCUUCCAUGGCUUAAUAAUAGUUUAUUUUGUGACUUGGAAUAGCUUUUCUUUUCAUUCAGCGGAUCAUUUUAGGUGUCAUUCAGUUUAUUUUAAGUAGUGUGUUUCAUCCUGAGCGGAUUAAGAAUUUUAUUUUUUAAAACUCUGUACUGUGUUGCUUCCUACUGGGAAAUUUACAUUAAAAAAAUGUUCGUGAGCAAAAUCUAUUUGGUCAAAAAGAAUGGCCCACGAUUAUCACUGAAUUUGGGAUGUUUUUCUUCUAAGGGACACAGUUGAUUCUUACUCAGAAUCAUGCGAGUCUGACAUUUCAUUUGGGGAAGUCUGAGGAAGUUGGUGAGGUCUUACGUUAAUAAAAACAAGUGCUUCUUUUUCUUCUUAUCACCUUUCAGUGUCUGCUCUGCUGGCUCAUGCAGUGUAGGUUGGCUUACCUCUCCCUGGAAGUCACAUUGUCCUUCAGAACUCUUUUUACUAUGACCCACAAACAGUUUUCAGACCUCACUCUGAUGAGUCAAAGGUAAAGCUGUGAAUAAACAGAUGGUGAAACAACAUUUGCAGUUCUCUGACUUCAGUCCUCCCUGAAACCCACUUGGAAUCUAGCUCUGAAUUCAGCCGGACAUGUUUGUUCUUCCCUUUUCCCAUCCUCACCUACUCCUAACCUUCAGUGUUCUCUUUACCUUUUAUUUUUAUUUUUGUCAUUUUAGUAGUAAAUGACAGGGACAUAGUUACUCAAUUUGUAAAACAUUGAAUGGUGAGGUCAAAGAUUCUAUGACGAGCUUGAGAUUUCUAACAGGUUCAGAUGGAUGACAGCAACAUUUUGCUGGCUUAAUUUUGGAGCUGUUUUUGUAGGUUUUGAAAUGCAGUUUAAUAGUGAGUAAUAGAGAAGUUUCUUUCUGCCGUGGAGCUACUGAACCCUUGAAAGUAACAUGCUGGCACAUACAGAUGAACUGUAGCCCCACAUUUAUUCCUUGCUUAGUGGUAAGCUGUACACUGAACAAUAGAAAACAAAAGGCUAUUUUUCUUUGGAAGAGCAGAUACUGAUUUCUGGACAAAGUUUAUGUUGUACAAGUUAAACAUUUUUUAUUCUUUUCUGGUUAGAUUUUCUGCCUUUUAAAAAAUUAGCUUAGUUGAAAAAGCAGGUAUUAUUAAAUACAGUUUAUUUUAUUGAAUUGGACGGACAAUCGUAGAAUUUUAAAGCUUAAAUGGCUUUAAUUGAACCUAAUGUUCUAAUUUUACAGAGGAAACAUUUGAGGCUUAGUGCGGUUAAAUGACCACUCCUACAACACACAGCCUGUUUGUUUGAUGGCUGAGGCUGAAAACCAGACUCCAGACUCCUAAUUUAAUGCUUUUCCUUCAUUGGUCAUGUCUUUUUAGCUUCAGUGAAGAUCUUUUUUUUUUUUUUUUUUUUAAUUUUUGAGGUUAUUUAAAAAAUACUUUGCCUUGAAAAUUUAACAUUUCCACUUAAUCAUUCUCAUACUUCAAGAACAGUUUCUCUGUUAACUUUCUGUUUAACUUCUUAAACCAUACACUGUGGAAAUUAUCUGUCUAUAUGCUGAACAGUCUUUAAUGACUGCAUGUGUGCCGUAGCUGUUGAGAUGUUUUAAUCCACUUUAGCAAAAGGUUUAUUUGUUUAAGAAAAGUGCAGUGUUGUAUUAAGUCUAAGCUUAGAACAAUGAAGCAUCAUCUCCCAGCUACUGGGAGUGAGAAUGGGAGGGGCAGGGAGUGGUUGGUACUAUGAGCUGCUCUAAAGAAAAUUCAUUUCAGCUUCCUCACAUGUUAAUACAAUCAUAUUUCAGUGAAGCCCUUCUUCAGCAACAGUCACUAAUGAUAGAGUGAUGUGUUUAGACUUGAAGGUUCUUUAGGUGCUGUUUAAAUGAAUAAUGAGUGUAGUUAAUUCACAAUACAGGUGAAAAGUUAACCACAGAGUAGUGGCACUGCUCUUUCUUUCCCCGUCACCUCUGUGCAUGAUCUCUUGCUGCGCCAUUAGAAGGGAUGAUUAGAAUGGGCAAAUAUUCCCUCCCGGUGCUCCUGGCAAUAGGAAAGCACUGUGGCUCUCUCCACCUAGCCAGUGUGGCCUGAGGCAUUCAUAGCCAUGUUCUGAGUGGUGAAGGCUAAGAGAGCCCAGGAGAGCUGUCCAGGGUUAAAUAAGACAUUAAUAUAUAAAGUAAGGACUGUCGGUAUACGUGAUAUUUAUAUGUUAUCAUAUUACAUUUUAUUUAUUUAUUUAUUCAUUUAUUUAUUUGUAUAUAUAGAGAGAGAAACAGAGUCUCACUCUGUUGCCCAGGCCAGAGGGUAGUGGUGCCAUCAUAGCUCACUGUAGUGUCGAACUCCUGGGCUCCAGUGAUCCUCCCGCCUCAGCCUGCUGAGUAGCUAGGACUACAGACUUGUGCGACCACACUUAUUUUUUGUUUUUAAUUUAUUUUUUGUAAAGACAGGGUCUCAUUCCAUUGCCCAGGCUGCAUUUUUAAGUUUAGUAACUGCCCAAAUGGACAUUGGGUAAAAUAAAAAUAAAUACAGUCACUUCUCUUCUUAAAUCAUUCACCUCUCAAGAUGAAGAAAGAUUGUCACCAAUUUUCAAAGAAUUUGAGUAUAAUUAAAUACACUUCAUAAUAAACUAGGCUGAACAUAAUUUAAUCUUUCCCUGAAGAAAACUGUAAUACUGCAUAUGCAUUUUCAAACUAUGCAUAUUUCUUCUUCAUUCCAUGUGGAAGUUUUUAUUCAGCCUUUCAGUAAAUUUUACUUAGCUUGUCCCAUGGAUGCCGCUACCCAAUCAGAGCAAAAACAGUAUUUUAAAAAACCUCAACUGGAUGAGCCUGAUGCAGUGGUGUGCUCAUGCAGUCCCAGCCAAAGGGUCACUUGAGCAGAGGAGUUCAAGGCCAACUUGGGCAACAUAGUGAGACCCCGUCUCUAAGACAAAUAAUAAACAUCAAAAUUAAAAUUAAAAAAAACCCAACCCAGUGUUCCCUUCAGAAUCCUGAGUGGUUUGUUUCAUCUUCCUCUAUUCUGGCUUGUGUCAUCUUCCUCUCUUGUAAUGGAUAAAAACUCCAAAUGAAGACAAAAAUGAGGAAUUUGUCAAAAAAAUUGAAUUGCCAACAAAAGCCAUCUUUGGUUGAUCAAACGGUACAGACGUUUCAGUUAGACAAGAGGGCUAAGUUUCUGAGACCCAUUGUACAGGAUUAUUAAUAUUAUUCAUUUUUAG